GAGAGUGUGGAGUUCCUCUGGCCCACAGGCCUGGCAUUCCCAGGGCUCCAGAAACUUGUCAAAGCAGGCCGUCUGGCUUCAGAGCCCUCCUUACUGAUCCUAGGGAAGAAAGAGCAGAAUGAAAAUACCACCCUGCGGCACCCACGGUGACAGAGUCCACGGGGACUUUGAUGUUAGAGACAAGCAGAGUUAAGAAAGGCCAGGUCACGUCUCACCUGCUGCUAACGUUCUACUGGGGCUCUCUGACCCUCUGUAUAGCGAUGAUCACCAGGACUCAUCAGAAGCCGCCAACAGAAGACCGCCUUCACCUUGUCCUUUGUUCUAAGCAUCCCUGGCCCUUCCUGCCAGGGACCAUCUCUGUGACAUGGUUCUCUAUGGCACCCCAAACUCCUGCUGGUCACUCAGAUUCCAAUCCCAUGCCCCGGUGACACAAAUUGCACACUUCAGCCAGCACCGCCUACAAAAUUAUCAGGGGAAGCGGAGGAACAAUGAAUCCCUAACGUCCGUGGGAACAUAGCUCUAAAGCAGAGACUUGUGUACCCCAGCAUCUUCACUCGCCCCAUUAUUUUAACUACGCAUGUGGCUAUCCCAAACACUACUGUUUCCAGCUUCUUAUGCAGUUGAACAUAAUAAGAGCACAUGUCUGCCUCUGGCCAAUAAAUUAUAAAUGAAAACA